AAUCGAAAAUGACUCGACGGAGAACAACAUAAUCGUUGAAGCUACAUAUAGAGGAUUGUCUAGAGAUACAUAUUCAGACAUCAAAGACGACAACGGUAUUCGCUUUUAACAAGUUAAUCUGACCCUGUACGAUCCUGCAACUUUUGUUCAAGUCUUGAAACAAGAUGAAGUCCACACGAUUCGCCAUUCCUCUCUUCAUGGUACUCAUCUUCAUUGUUUACCAAGCUUCUUCAUCUAGUGGUUUUAGUGAUUCUGUUGCUAAUGAUUUCGCCGAAGAAGUAGAAUCUGCUGAAUACGGGAACGUGGAACUUGAAGAAUCUGUUGUGCUUUUUGAGGAAAAAGAUGAUUGUAAUCAAGUCGGCCUGUGGUGUACCUAGGCGAUAUUGGAGGACCGAAUGAGGACUUGGAAUGGGAUUUUGACUGACAUAUGUCAUAAUGUCAAUCACAAUCGAUAAUCCUAAAUACACUCAUGCUUCACGAUCGAAAUCCUUAGUACUGUAUUAAGCAAUGUCAUUAUUUAGA